rnacentral:rRNA from 1 species
UACGUAGGGUGCGAGCGUUGUCCGGAAUUAUUGGGCGUAAAGAGCUCGUAGGCGGUCUGUCGCGUCGGAUGUGAAAACACGGGGCUCAACCCCGUGCCUGCAUUCGAUACGGGCAGACUAGAGUUCGGUAGGGGAGACUGGAAUUCCUGGUGUAGCGGUGAAAUGCGCAGAUAUCAGGAGGAACACCAAUAGCGAAGGCAGCUCGCUGGGACGUUACUGACACUGAGGCGCGAAAGCGUGGGGAGCGAACAGG